UUCCCCUAGUAACUGCGAGUGAAGCGGGAAAAGCUCAAAUUUGAAAUCUGGCAGCCUUUGGUUGUCCGAGUUGUAAUCUAGAGAAGUGCUAUCCGCGCUGGACCGUGUACAAGUCUCCUGGAAUGGAGCGUCAUAGAGGGUGAGAAUCCCGUCUUUGACACGGACUGCCAGGGCUUUGUGAUGUGCUCUCGAAGAGUCGAGUUGUUUGGGAAUGCAGCUCAAAAUGGGUGGUAAAUUCCAUCUAAAGCUAAAUAUUGGCGAGAGACCGAUAGCGAACAAGUACCGUGAGGGAAAGAUGAAAAGAACUUUGGAAAGAGAGUUAAACAGUACGUGAAAUUGCUGAAAGGGAAACGCUUGAAGUCAGUCGCGUUGUCCAGGGAUCAACCUUGCUUUUGCUUGGUGCACUUUCUGGUUGACGGGUCAGCAUCAAUUUUGACCAUUGGAAAAAGAUUAGGGGAAUGUGACAUCUUAGGAUGUGUUAUAGCCCUUGGUUGCAUACAAUGGUUGGGAUUGAGGAACUCAGCACGCCGCAAGGCCGGGUUUUCAACCACGUACGUGCUUAGGAUGCUGGCAUAAUGGCUUUAAUCGACCCGUCUUGAAACACGGACCAAGGAGUCUAACAUGCCUGCGAGUGUUUGGGUGGAAAACCCGAGCGCGUAAUGAAAGUGAAAGUUGAGAUCCCUAUCAUGGGGAGCAUCGACGCCCGGACCUGACCUUUUGUGACGGUUCCGCGGUAGAGCAUGUAUGUUGGGACCCGAAAGAUGGUGAACUAUGCCUGAAUAGGGUGAAGCCAGAGGAAACUCUGGUGGAGGCUCGUAGCGAUUCUGACGUGCAAAUCGAUCGUCAAAUUUGGGUAUAGGGGCGAAAGACU
rnacentral:rRNA from 1 species